rnacentral:lncRNA from 1 species
AGGUGGGAAUUACUAACACUUCUUUGUAAGCAUGUCUGACAGUAUCAAAUAUUUGUUUCUUUUACAGUUGGGCAAAACUGAGGCGGAGGGAAGUUGUGAUUGUCGAAGCCGCAGAUAAAAUGCUUGGUUCUCAAGAUAAUCUCCUCCUUGAUUGCUUAGCAGCUGAAACAGCACCCCACACAGUUCCUCCUGCCCUUUAGGAUAAUCUGUAUUUACAACAUCACGCUGCCAUCUUCCAUUUGGGCCAAUUUCAAGAAUAAACACAAGCAUGCAUGCAAUUUGUAAGCUUAGAUGUUGCAUCAAAAAUUUGGUUCACUAUAUUGGAACAUCUAUGGUAUGAACUAUGGAAAGUGAGCGUACCUAAGGGGAAAGACAAGCCCAAGAGAGAAGACAAAGCAGAAAGCAAUUGAACGUCCCAAGUGGCUGCGACCCAGGGAAAGGAUGCUGGCUACCGAAUGGUUCAUUAGAACUACAUUUUAGAAAGGGAAACAGUCUCAGCGGGACAGCUUCCGUGGCUUCCAGAUUCACCAUGGCCCUGAUUCUCUGGUUGGACGGCUGAAGUCACUGUGGGUCCAAUACUUGCUUUUUGUCUUUGGCCGGUCUCUUGGUACCAUCUGCUCACAGGAUCUGGUGGGAAUCAUAUGCUACCAAAGGUUGGAAUCCAGAGAGAGAUGGACUCUGACAAGCUAAAAUGGAAGUAACUUGACAGCUUCAAUCCCUCCAGUUGCCUCUUGUAAGGACAAGUUGAAAGUGGGAACACAAACGUGUCUGGGAGAGCAGUAUGCAGGAAGCUGGUUUUCAGGCCACAAACGCUUUCACAGGUGAGGUUCCUGCACUGUGAGUAAGUUGAGAGUUGGUGAACUUUUUGUUAUGUGCAACCGAAGUACUGCAAAAAUGAAUGUCCCAGCACACAUUUGGACCAUGAAUUUUAGGAGAUAUAUGAAGGUGAAGGGUACAAGCAAAUAGGGUGACCUUUUUCCCCCAGGAAGUAAUACUAUAUUUUUGUUUUCACCUCACAUAUUAGCCUGAGGAGGGGUCCCUGCAUUUUAUGAUUCUAUAUAAAAUAUCCUGAAGUACAUACUACAGAAAUAUUCUUCUCCAUUCUGUAAAGGAAAUGUGUUACCAGAAAAGACAGGGUGGGUAUUUUCCUUCAUAGAGUAAAAUCUCCCCUCCCCCAAAUUAAUUGCUGGCAAGUAAUUUUCCCUUCUCUCAUCUUUUUUUUAUCCUUAGUUUAUUUCCUCAGUUUUAUUAGUGAGCAAAUGGGGGAAAAUUGGCUGCUCUAGCCUUCCAGUUAUAAUCAUUCUUGAAUAAAUGAGGUCAUUGUUAAAGCUGUACA